AGCGGCGGACGGGUGAGUAAUGCCUAGGAAUCUGCCCGAUAGUGGGGGACAACGUUUCGAAAGGAACGCUAAUACCGCAUACGUCCUACGGGAGAAAGUGGGGGAUCUUCGGACCUCACGCUAUCGGAUGAGCCUAGGUCGGAUUAGCUAGUUGGUGAGGUAAUGGCUCACCAAGGCGACGAUCCGUAACUGGUCUGAGAGGAUGAUCAGUCACACUGGAACUGAGACACGGUCCAGACUCCUACGGGAGGCAGCAGUGGGGAAUAUUGGACAAUGGGCGAAAGCCUGAUCCAGCCAUGCCGCGUGUGUGAAGAAGGUCUUCGGAUUGUAAAGCACUUUAAGUUGGGAGGAAGGGCUGUCGGCUAAUACCCUGCAGUUUUGACGUUACCAACAGAAUAAGCACCGGCUAACUUCAUGCCAGCAGCCGCGGUAAUACGAAGGGUGCAAGCGUUAAUCGGAAUUACUGGGCGUAAAGCGCGCGUAGGUGGUUCAGCAAGUUGGAUGUGAAAGCCCCGGGCUCAACCUGGGAACUGCAUCCAAAACUACUGAGCUAGAGUACGGUAGAGGGUGGUGGAAUUUCCUGUGUAGCGGUGAAAUGCGUAGAUAUAGGAAGGAACACCAGUGGCGAAGGCGACCACCUGGACUGAUACUGACACUGAGGUGCGAAAGCGUGGGGAGCAAACAGGAUUAGAUACCCUGGUAGUCCACGCCGUAAACGAUGUCAACUAGCUGUUGGGUUCCUCGAGAACUUAGUAGCGAAGCUAACGCGAUAA
rnacentral:rRNA from 1 species